CCAGUUUCCUUCACCUCUGAGCACAUGUUGUGGCGGCCAUUUUAAAAAGGAAACUUUUUCCAUUAAACUAUAUGGGAUCAGUAUAUAGAGCUUUAUAAAGAGAGUAACAUGUGUUUUCUGUUUGUUUACUUUCCAAACAAAGAAAGGAGCUAGAAGACUCUUCAACCGACUCCAGGUCUGGCUGUGCUGAAGUAGCAUAGGAGUGGUGAUAGCAGGAGAGCGGAAUCUGUGGCAGGCUGUAAGUUUAAAACCAGCAGCUCACCGUUCUGUCCUCUUCAUCCUCGCUGAGUUGUUGCUUUGGCAACCUGUACCAGCUAAAAUGGAUAGGCUUUCUGAAGGAUCAGUACAUGAACACACACACGACACUCGAUCACAUAAAGAAAGACACCCAACUGAGAAGGCCCUACAACUGCUGCUAGAGCAGGAAAGUCACUUAAGUGUGAAGGAGCAGGAAGCCUGGAAGAGUUUGCAAUAUGCCAUGCACUUGCUAACAGCAUCUCACAGUGUAGAAGACACUGCAAGGAGAAAGCUAGCCCUGCAAUCCAGUUUUCUACAAUGGAAGGAGGUGGUGGAUAGAAGGAUCCAAACGCUUCAAACCAUCAACAAUUCGGAUGCAGAAUCCAGACUAAAACAGUUUCUGGAAGAAAUUGCAGUUAAUGAAAACGAAUAUAGUGCAGUUUGGGACACAGUCCAGUUCCGGCUGCAGAUUUUGGAAACCAGAGAAGAGAGUGAGAACUCCCCAACUGGCACUCUCAAGUCUAGCAAAGGAGUCUAUCCAGGGAAACCUCAAAGUGUCAGGAGUUUAAAAUCCCGUCACACCAGCAUGACUUCUUCACAUAGACACUGUUCUCACUCCAGUAGAAGUGGCAGUUACCGCACAUCUUCCCAUGCCAGCUGGACUUCGUCCAUGGCGGCCCAGCAGUUCAAAGAAGUGGAAAGGAUGAAAUUGAUGUCUCAAACGCUGCAUGCAGAAGCGGAAGCUGCGAUGGCGAGUGAAGAAUUAACCUUCUCCCAUCAAGAGGUUAAUUUGGAGCAACAAGAAGCCGCCCGCAGAGCAGAGCAAGAGAAACAAGAUGCCGCCCGCAAAGCGGAGCAAGAGAAACAAGAUGCUGCCCGCAAAGCAGAGCAUGAAAUGCAAGAAGCCGCCCGCAGAGCAGAGCAAGUUGCAAUUCAGAAUCAAAGGAAACUUCUGUUCAAGGCGAAAGAAGCUUCAAAACUGUCUAUAAAGGCCAAGAUCUUAGCUAAAGCUUUCAAGGAUGACUUAAGUGAGGAGAACAUGAGGUUGCUUCCUAUACAAGAGCCUAGAGCCAGGAUGUCUACCUUGUUCCCUGAGGAGGAUGUCCGCACCUUCUGGGAUAAGACCUCACCAGAACAUCCUGUGGAGAAGUUACCUUCUGACUUAGACAUCAGCAAGACACAAUUGCUUUCCAAUCCUUGGCUUCAGCCUACAGCAGAAUCUGUCUACAAAAAUGAGACGAUCCAUCGUGACCAACCACUUAUACUAUCAUCAGAGGCUGACCCCUUUAGAGAACAGAGACCCAUGGCGGGGAGUCAAGUCCCCAGCUAUGUCAGCGCAGCAAUCCAGCGGUCCUCAGCACUCACUACUGCUGCUGAGGUUCCCAAGAAUUACCGUCCUAGAGAGUUCGUGGGCUUGCCUGCUGAUCAAGCUGAUUUGCAGACCAAGAACUACCCUCGCCCUUUCCGGCCUGCAGAGACACAGACUCAUGAGGCCCCAGGGAAACCAACUUUCUCCACACCUCAUCCGUCAACCCAGAUGUUUCCCACCUUUGCGGAGUCCUGGUCACCAGCUAUGUUUAAAACUCCCAGGAGGGAUCUUAAAGACAAGGGAGUCCAGAAAUUCUCGGACCUUCCUGAAGAUUUCACCUUAUGGAAGGUAACCUUUCAGAGAGCUAUUAGAGACUUGAAGCUGCAAGCAGAUGAGGAGCUCAUCUUACUCAUGGCAUGGUUGGGCCCUAACUCAUCCCUUCAGGUCCAGAGAGUUUACGCUGCCUACGUGUCAGACCCUGUUAAGGCAUUACAGACAGCGUGGAACAGAUUAGACGAGAGAUAUGGUGCGUCUACAGAAAUAGAGGCAUCUUUACUGAAUCGGCUUUACAAGUUCCCUAUCCUCAAGUCANAGGACUUCCGUCAGUUAUGGGACUUGAGUGAUCUUCUAGCUGAACUUGAGUCUGCAAAAUGCAACCCAGAGCUACCUGGUCUAGCCUGCCUAGAUCAGUAUAUUACACAGAGACAGGUGCUCCAAAAGCUACCCNUCCAGCUCCAGGAGAUUUGGGGAAGAGAGGUGUUUGNUUAUAAGGAGCUCCACAUGCAACGUUACCNACCUUUCAGUUACCUUGUGACCUUCAUAGCAAGAGUUGCAAAGGAAAGGAACGAUCCACAGACUGGGUUUCCAACCCUUUACCAGAGUGUGCGUCCAGAGAAGACCAUACAGGAGGGUAAAAAACCUCUCUAGGAGAUGCAAAGGGCUACAGUUGUAGUUAGAUCUACUGAGAUCACUCAGCCUAAGUCAGACAAGAAUCAAGAGACUAAAGAAAUUCUUUGUCCCAUUCAUAAUAAGCCACAUAGCCUUGCUGAUUGUAAAGAGUUUUCAAAAAGGUCCUAUGAUGAAAGGCUGGAGAUAGCAACCAAGGCGAAGGUUUGCUUCCGCUGCUGUGGUUCAAAAGGCCACUUUGCAAAGAAUUGCAAGN
ensembl:lncRNA